UCACUUCUUAGCGAAGGUUUCCUGGACCAAAGAAAGAGGUAUCGAAAGGUUGGUUCAAUCAGAGAGAGAGACAACUA
rnacentral:tRNA from 1 species